UGUUGUGGGGAAACUGCGUGCAAAUC
rnacentral:piRNA from 1 species